UCGAGGGGUAUAGGUUUUCGGACCUAGAGACCGGCGCACGGGUGCGUAACGCGUAUGCAAUCUACCUUUUACAGAGGGAUAGCCCAGAGAAAUUUGGAUUAAUACCUCAUAGUAUAUAGACUCGGCAUCGAGACUAUAUUAAAGUUACAACGGUAAAAGAUGAGCAUGCGUCCCAUUAGCUAGUUGGUAAGGUAACGGCUUACCAAGGCAACGAUGGGUAGGGGUCCUGAGAGGGAGAUCCCCCACACUGGUACUGAGACACGGACCAGACUCCUACGGGAGGCAGCAGUGAGGAAUAUUGGUCAAUGGGCGCAAGCCUGAACCAGCCAUGCCGCGUGCAGGAUGAAGCAUCUAUGGUGUGUAAACUGCUUUUGUACAGGAAGAAACCUUACCACGUGUGGUAAAUUGACGGUACUGUAAGAAUAAGGACCGGCUAACUCCGUGCCAGCAGCCGCGGUAAUACGGAGGGUCCAAGCGUUAUCCGGAAUCAUUGGGUUUAAAGGGUCCGUAGGCGGUUUAGUAAGUCAGUGGUGAAAGCCCAUCGCUCAACGGUGGAACGGCCAUUGAUACCGCUAGGCUUGAAUUAUUAGGAAGUAACUAGAAUAUG
rnacentral:rRNA from 1 species